GCCGGCAUGGGCCGCGGAGGCGGCGGGGAGCUCACCGCAAAGCUGGAGGCUGGAGGCUGGAAGCUGCGUCCGCGGACGCACGAGGAGCCGAGGCAGCGAGCAAGCGCUCUGCGGCGGCGGUGGACGCUGCUGAAGGCGCCUGCCCUGGAGAAGCCUCUGCCUGGUGCUUGGAAACGUGCCCUCCCAGCCUCUGCCUGGACCUUGAGGUCUGGCUCUGAGCUGGCCGCUCCUGCUCGCUGAGACCAAGCCCAGCAUUUUGCAAACUCUGCUCCCUUCUCCGAGGGUCCCUGAGCGCCCCUCCCUCACCCACCGCAGGGCACCGGCCACUGAGGCACAGACCAUGCACUGGGCUCCAGGAGGGACACCGGCUCAGCGACAGCCCCGGCUGGAAGCCAUGGAUGGGGACCCAGUUGGAACCACCGGGACCCGAUAACAACGGCACAAGCUACUCAAGGCACAAGGCACACAGCCACUGAUCCUUAAACCAGAAGCCCAAACCAGGAGCUCCCCUCCAAGGACCCCCAGAGGAGCCCAGACUGCAAGGAGCCACUGUGCCCACACCUGAGCGACCCUGAGCAACCGGAGCAACCCGCAACCCGAGCGACCGAGGGACAGACACCCGGAGCAGAGCAGACCCCCUGAAUCACAGAUGCCCACGGUGUGACUCUGAAUACACCCCAGCUUCCCUGGGCCUGGUGGGGGGGUUGCUCCAUGAACCUAAGGAAAGGAGGCCCCUGCAGGGAGACUGACAGUUGGAGAGCUAAGCCAUCGGACAUCUCAGCCCUGCCCUGGGAGUCUGAAGACACUCACCUCUGCGGGGCUGGGGCUGGCUGUGGGACUCAGUUCUGAGCGUGUGGGGACCGCCUGGGCCACAGGCCACAGCAGCUCACCUCC